rnacentral:tRNA from 1 species
GCGCCCGUAGCUCAGCUGGAUAGAGCGCGUCCCUCCGGAGGACGAGGCCGCAGGUUCGAAUCCUGCCGGGCGCG